CACGUAGGGGACGAGCGUUGUCCGGAAUUACUGGGCGUAAAGGGCGCGCAGGCUGUGCGUCGAGUCGGCUGUUGAAAGGCGGGGCUCAACCCCGCGAAGCGGUCGAGACCGGCGUGCUGGAGUACUGCAGAGGCAGGCGGAAUUCCCGGUGUAGCGGUGAAAUGCGUAGAUAUCGGGAAGAACACCGGUGGCGAAGGCGGCCUGCUGGGCAGUAACUGACGCUGAGGCGCGAGAGCCAGGGUAGCGAACGGGAUUAGAUACCC
rnacentral:rRNA from 1 species